GGGGCCGCAGAGGAAAGCGGGCAGGCUCUGGUUGCGGUGCUCCAGGCAAGCCCGAGCACUUCCUUUGUGAGCACUGACAAAGAGAGAUGCACAAGUCAACUGCUGUCUUCCAGGAGGCCCCCAGGACCCUGGGGGUGGUGGCGGGGUCCGCAGUCAGCACCCGUCAUCUCCAUCUUUUGCGCAGAGUUAAGUGUUCACGAUUUGCGCACUUUCCCCCUUCACCAGCCAGCGGUCAGUCACUCUUUCAAGUUCCCAUCCCUGUUUUUCCAGUGAAAACCCAGGUCUGGGAGCAUCAGGAGCCUUCCAGGACCACCGUCCAAGGACAGGCAAUCCUGUCCGAAUUUCCAUCCAGUCCGUCGUGUCCCGGGAGGCCGCUUGGUUUCCGGUGGCUUCGCCUGAUUCCUUCCUGCUUCAGAGCAGAGAGGAACGCGAGCACUGGAAACAUGGUCAUUGCGUGGUCACCGGUCACCCUCUUCCUGAAUUUUCUGUCAAGUUAACAAAGCUUAAGGUUCAGGAUUCUCAAUCCACGGACUCUUUCCAGGGCUGUAAGUGACAGGCUCUUUUGAUUUUAUAAAACUCGCGAAAGGAAGCUAUUCUAGCAGUGGUUGGUCACGAACAUCAUCUCUCUCACUCCGAGACCUCCCCUUGGGUAUGUUUCCCCUACUGUUGGAUGAUGGCAUCGCAGUGGUCACCUGCGUUUACCACGAUCCGGCUAAAGAGAAAUUGAUAUGAAAUGCUCCACAAAUACAGGCUCAGACAUACACCACCCCACUACGACAAGGAUAUUGAUGAGAAACUUGAUAAUGAAAGUUGUCGAUGCAAAGAACAUUUAAGACGCAUCACUGCACAAGAGUGCCUUGGAAUCUUAGAGCUUGUCUGCGAAAGAGACUUGAUGGAGACUCUUCCAAAAUUUACAAUUGUGAAACAUUUUCCAAAGUAUAAAUCCUUAUUUGAAAAGGAGAUGAGCCAGGGGUGCCUGGGUGGCUCAGUCAGUUAAGCAUCUGACUCUUGAUUUUGGCUCAGGUCAUGAUAUCACGGCUCAUUAGUUCAAGCCCUGAAUUGGGCUCUGCGCUGGCAGCAUGGAGCCUGCUUGGGAUUCUUUCUCUCUCACCCUCUAACUCUGCCCCUCCCGUGCUUGUGCUGUCUCUCUCUC
rnacentral:lncRNA from 1 species